UACGGGGGGGCAAGCGUUGUUCGGAAUUACUGGGCGUAAAGGGCUCGUAGGCGGCCAACUAAGUCAGACGUGAAAUCCCCAGGCUUAACCUGGGAACUGCGUCUGAUACUGGAUGGCUUGAAUCCGGGAGAGGGAUGCAGAAUUCCAGGUGUAGCGGUGAAAUGCGUAGAUAUCUGGAGGAACACCGGUGGCGAAGGCGGCAUCCUGGACCGACACUGACGCUGAGGCGCGAAAGCUAGGGAGCAACGGG
rnacentral:rRNA from 1 species